GACGAGGGGUCCAAGCGUUGUUCGGAAUUAUUGGGCGUAAAGCGGGUGUAGGUGGCUCUAUAAGUCAGGAGUGAAAUCCCCGAGCUUAACUUGGGAAGUGCUUUUGAUACUGCAGAGCUUGAAUGUGGGAGAGGAUCGUGGAAUUCCAGGUGUAGCGGUGAAAUGCGUAGAUAUCUGGAGGAACACCGGUGGCGAAGGCGGCAUCCUGGACCAAUAUUGACGCUGAGGAGCGAAAGCCAGGGGAGCAAACGGG
rnacentral:rRNA from 1 species